rnacentral:rRNA from 1 species
UACGGAGGGUGCAAGCGUUAUCCGGAUUUACUGGGCUUAAAGGGUGCGUAGGCGGGCAUUUAAGUCAGUGGUGAAAUACCUGAGCUUAACUUGGGAACUGCCAUUGAUACUAUUUGUCUUGAAUGUCGUGGAGGUUAGCGGAAUAUGUCAUGUAGCGGUGAAAUGCUUAGAUAUGACAUAGAACACCUAUUGCGAAGGCAGCUAACUAGGCGAAUAUUGACGCUGAGGCACGAAAGCGUGGGGAGCAAACAGG